ACUGCUCACUGCUCGGGGCAGGGCCUUUUCCUCGGACUCUCUGCACGUGCUUGGCUGCUUGAAACCCAAUCCCUGAACUUUCAACACUUGCUGGUUUGCAAGGUAGCCCUCCCUCCCGGGAUCUCCCAGGGACAGUGCCCAGGUCUCGGAGGGAAUGGCUGGUGGUCCUGAGAGGGCACUUUAAAGUGGAGACUUGGGCAUCUGAAGACCGAUUACAACCCUGGACCCGUCACAGAGCUUUGAUUUUAACCCUGCACAGCUGGCCCGCCUCCGCCCUCCCCCUGCAAUGCCGCCAUGAUGGCACCAGCGCUCCUGUGAGUGGCCCAGGAAAUUGAGGUGGAGGGAACCUCAGCCCAUGCACACCAAGCCCCUGCACGUGGUUCAACGCUGUGUGCAAAGCCUAGAGGAGCAGGAGGAGGGGGCCUUCCUCCCGGUGGGAACCGACAUCUUCCUGACAACCCAUCCACCCCUCUACCACCCUGACCCUUGUGGGCAGUGCCAGGAAGGAAGAAAAGAAACUGCUCUGCCUUGGUUUUCUGGAUGGUGAGCUGUGCCUUCACAGAACACGGAGGGCUGAUCACAUUUCCAGAGCUUGACCCUCGGAGCAGCAGUGGGCCAACUGGCAGAGAAAGUUCUGAGGAUGAAAAGUUCUUGGUGGAAGAGGUUCCCAUUCCUGCAACCAAGGUGACCUCCUUCACCAUUUUUCCAAUGGCAGAGGCUCCAGCCCCAGAUAAGCAACAAAACCAGCC